GAUGAACGCUGGCGGCGUGCCUAAUACAUGCAAGUCGAGCGAACAGACGAGGAGCUUGCUCCUCUGACGUUAGCGGCGGACGGGUGAGUAACACGUGGAUAACCUACCUAUAAGACUGGGAUAACUUCGGGAAACCGGAGCUAAUACCGGAUAAUAUAUUGAACCGCAUGUUUCAAUAGUAAAAGACGGUUUUGCUGUCACUUAUAGAUGGAUCCGCGCCGCAUUAGCUAGUUGGUAAGGUAACGGCUUACCAAGGCAACGAUGCGUAGCCGACCUGAGAGGGUGAUCGGCCACACUGGAACUGAGACACGGUCCAGACUCCUACGGGAGGCAGCAGUAGGGAAUCUUCCGCAAUGGGCGAAAGCCUGACGGAGCAACGCCGCGUGAGUGAUGAAGGUCUUCGGAUCGUAAAACUCUGUUAUUAGGGAAGAACAAAUGUGUAAGUAACUAUGCACGUCUUGACGGUACCUAAUCAGAAAGCCACGGCUAACUACGUG
rnacentral:rRNA from 1 species